rnacentral:misc_RNA from 1 species
AAAGUCGUAACAAGGUCUCCGUAGGUGAACCUGCGGAGGGAUCAUUCACAUGAUUUACUUUAUAUUAACAAACUGUGAACUUUAUUAAAACUAUUCGUGUUGUUAUGAUUUUUCAUUACAUACACUGUCAUUCGAUGAACAUUAGAUAGCUGGCUCGUAUUAUUUACAUUCUACUUUCUCAGCUGAUUUGUUGUUAAACUAAACACUUAUUCAACAAUCAACCAAAACAUAGAAACAACUCUAUGCCCUGGAUAUCUUGGUUCUC